rnacentral:rRNA from 1 species
CAGUCGCCGCGGGAAUACAGAGGGUGCAAGCGUUAAUCGGAAUUACUGGGCGUAAAGCGCGCGUAGGUGGUUUGUUAAGUUGGAUGUGAAAUCCCCGGGCUCAACCUGGGAACUGCAUCCAAAACUGGCAAGCUAGAGUAUGGUAGAGGGUGGUGGAAUUUCCUGUGUAGCGGUGAAAUGCGUAGAUAUAGGAAGGAACACCAGUGGCGAAGGCGACCACCUGGACUGAUACUGACACUGAGGUGCGAAAGCGUGGGGAGCAAACAGGAUUAGAGACCCCAGUAGUCCCUGUCUCUUAUAC